ACUAAAUAAGAGCCGUUGCACGGCAUCACUGUCGCCAGCUAUCUCCGGUGAAUUCCUCAUCGAUGACAUCGAUGUAUAUUUCUUCCUUCCUCUCUUACUUUCACUCUAUUCAGGCUGAAAGCGAUUUGAGGGUAAUUUGACAAAACCCCUUUUUACGAAAGAUUAGGGUUUUGCGAAGGAUCAUGACGGAACUCUGUUUCCUAGAGCAAAAGAAAAGCAGUUGCCCGUGCUGGGAUUCCGAGGACGUGGAGAAUCAUCUUCUGAGAAUGAUAUUGACUUAUCAAUCGAGACAAUGUGCAAUGAUGUUUUGGCAGUUAUAGAGACCAUCUAUUAGAGAUUCACCUACUGCAAUCGUGCUUGUUGGUCACAGAUUGAAUGGAGUGUAAAAGGAGGUUCGUUGAGGAAUGUUGACUCUGCCCGUGUAUCAAUUCCCUCUACACUUACAUACGACCAUUCAAAGAAAUGGGAUAGUAGAUGGAGAUUUCUUUACGUUGGUAUGGAGAAUGGGUU